GUUCUCAUGUCUCCGCCUAAUGGAAUGGGAAUGGGGGGUCCCGUUUAUUAAGGCAUAAGGGCAGGAGAGCCAAUAUCUAUUACCAGGAGCUGACAAACCUAGACCUGGCUGCAUGCACCAUCUGGGAUAUUGGUUAUGACCGCCAGCGAGCCCCGAAACAGCAGAGGUUACAAGGGGAGGAACUUCACUUUUCAUUUAU